GAGCGAGUGUCAGUUGGUGAAGUCGUUCUGUGACAGAAAGCAGCAGAGGUUCGAGUCACUAGGAGAGCCCAGAGAGCAGCUCGGCACAGAGGGAUCAGGUUGCAGGACCACUGGAACCGCCAAUGAGUUGGUGACAAAGGAAAGAGAGGACACGACCCUCCACUUCCUGUUGAAACACUCACCACCUUGGAUCCUGACGGUGACGUCAUACAGAUACGCAUAAUGGAUCAUAGACCGUGAUCACAGUUCUCACAUAAUGGAUCAUAGACCGUGAUCACAGUUCUCACAUAAUGGAUCAUAGACCGUGAUCACAGUUCUCACAUAAUGGAUCAUAGACCGUGAUCACAGUUCUCACAUAAUGGAUCAUAGACCGUGAUCACAGUUCUCACAUAAUGGAUCAUAGACCGUGAUCACAGUUCUCACAUAAUGGAUCAUAGACCGUGAUCACAGUUCUCACAUAAUGGAUCAUAGACCGUGAUCACAGUUCUCACACAAGCAAUCUUGCUCAUCUUUUUUUCUGGCAUUCUUCAAAAUACACACAAUAAUAGCUAAUAGUUAACACAUCUAUAGCUAAUAGCUACCACAUCCAUAGCUAAUAGCUAACACAUCCAUAGCUAAUAGCUAACACAUCCAUAGCUAAUAGCUAACACAUCCAUAGCUAAUAGCUAACACAUCCAUAGCUAACAGCUACCACAUCCAUAGCUAAUAGCUAACACACCAAUAGCUAAAAGAUCAUGGCUGAUGAAUUUCAGGGACGUGGUUCGUCGCCAUAGAGCAAGACAGACCAUGCUUAUUUAUUUUUUUGAAGUACUUUUAUUUUGUCUGUUUGCAGAUAGCCAUUCAAAGAUAUUGAUCAGUGGUUGCAUUUCUCAAUGUAUAAAGUCUACCAAAGUCGUCAGGAAAGCCUGUUCAAUAUUGCUUUUUCUAAAGAUCCAGUCACCCAGUCAGGUUUACCAGCACAUUUUGUACCCGUAAAUGAAGACAUUCAAAUACAUUGUGAUACAUCAGGUAUAAGGAUCUGCAGUGUUUCGAAGGCAUCUUUAGUUUAACAAUGAUUUCAGUGAAUGCUCUGGACUGAUAUUUUUUGUACACACUGUACACAUGGGCUAUAUUCAAUAAAGCAACAGCAAAGUAAAUUAUGUCAAAGUAUUGUGGAAAUUGCUGAUUGUAUUCAGGUUUUUACACUAUGAGAAUAUAAACUAUGAAUUGCAUAGAUUACUGCGUGGUCAGGAAUGGAUGGAGUUUUCACACUUGCAUUUCAGCAAUUGAAAGUGCAAAGGAAAUGAGCGCAUCACUCCUGUACGUACAGUGUGUUACACAUACGUUGUCAAGCUCCAA